UCAGCUUCAGCCAACAAGAAGAACCGUAUUCAAGUCUCUAACACCAAAAAGCCCCUCUUUUUCUACGUUAAUCUCGCCAAGAGAUACAUGCAGCAACACAAUGAAGUUGAACUCUCUGCUCUUGGGAUGGCUAUAGCAACAGUUGUAACCAUCACUGAGAUCUUGAAGAAUAAUGGGCUUGCUGUUGAGAAAAAGAUCAUGACUUCAACUGUUGACAUGAGAGAGGAAACAGGAGGGCGACCUGUGCCAAAAGCAAAGAUUGAAAUAUUGCUUGGGAAGACAGAAAAGUUUGACGAGUUGAUGGCUGCUGCUACAGAGGAAUUGAUAGAUAACGAGGAGCAGAGCUGAGCUUGAAAAAGCAAAUUCAGUGGGCCCCUUAAGUUCAUUGUGAACAUCUGUAACAAUCUGUUUUAGAUUGGAUAAAGAAUCUGUUUUAGAUUGGAUUUUAUCAAGUUUAUUAGUUGUUAUUAUAUUUAUUGCAGGAGG
rnacentral:misc_RNA from 1 species